UACAGAGGGUGCGAGCGUUUAAUCGGAAUUACUGGGCGUAAGGCGCGCGUAGGCGGCUUUGCAAGUCGGGUGUGAAAUCCCCAGGCUUAACCUGGGAACUGCAUUCGAGACUGCAUUUGCUAGAGUAUGGGGAGAGGGGAAGUGGAAUUUUCCGGUGUAGCGGUGAAAUGCGUAGAUAUCGGAAGGAACAUCAGUGGCGAAAAGCGACUUCCUGGACCAAUACUGACGCUCAUGUGCGAAAGCGUGGGGAGCAAACAGG
rnacentral:rRNA from 1 species